CCACAGCCCAAAAAUCUUCUCAACAGUGUGAUUGGAAGAGCCCUCGGCAUCUCACAUGCAAAAGACAAACUAGUCUACGUGCACACAAAUGGACCGAAGAAAAAGAAAGUCACACUGCACAUAAAGUGGCCCAAGAGCGUGGAGGUAGAAGGCUAUGGCAGCAAGAAGAUUGAUGCUGAGCGGCAGGCUGCAGCUGCGGCCUGCCAGCUGUUCAAGAGAUGGGAUUUUUCCAUGUUGCCCAGGCUGGUCUCAAACUCCUGGUCUCAAGCAAUCCUCCCACCUCAGCCUCGCAAAGUGCUGGGAUUACAGGUGUGAACCACCGCACCCGGCCAGGUUCCUAAGUCUUCAUCUCUGCUCUGACAAGAAAAAGCCACAGGAUGUGUAUUCCCUCAGCUUCUCUUCUACUCAUGGUCUCCAGGAUUUUACUGUUCCUUCUCUUUCCUGCAUUUGAAGAGGAAGGUCCCUGUUGCUAUUCUGGGCCCCCAUAGUACCCAUCUCUUUUCUCUGUUCCUGUAAUGGUCCAUUGCUAUAAAGGAAUACAUGAGACUGGGUAAUGUAUUAAAGAAA
rnacentral:sRNA from 1 species